rnacentral:sRNA from 1 species
UCUUAGUAGGCAAGUGCGUUAAGGAUGGUAGCGGCAUCCUUUUUUUGUGUGCGCUUAUGCACAAAAAAGAUAUAGCGAACAGCCUGACCUUAU